UACAGAGGUCUCAAGCGUUGUUCGGAUUCAUUGGGCGUAAAGCGCGUGUAGGCGGUCCGGUAAGUCCGCUGUGAAAGUCGAGGGCUCAACCCUCGAAUGCCGGUGGAUACUGUCGGGCUCGAGUACGGGAGAGGCGAGUGGAAUUCCUGGUGUAGCGGUGAAAUGCGCAGAUAUCAGGAGGAACACCGAUUGCGAAGGCAGCUCGCUGGAACGUUACUGACGCUGAGACGCGAAAGCGUGGGGAGCAAACGGG
rnacentral:rRNA from 1 species